AGAUGAUGGACUUCAGACUUAAGAAGAAAUAAAGUCUUUCCCACCAAAAAUAAAAUAAAAGGCUGUCUCACUGAACCUGAUGUACUAGAGAAGAAACCAACAAACCCCAGGGAUAUUCCUGUCUCUGUCCUCCAAUAUUAUAAUUACAGGAAACUGCAGCCAUGCCCAGCUUUUCAUGUAAGUCCUGGAGAUGGGACACAGACCCUUAUGUUUUCAAGAGAAUCACACAGGUCAUUAUCUUUCUGUGACAAGCACUUCACAGAGUCACACAUUUCCUCAGCUCCUAUUUUUAUAAUUUUAUCUAUUCAGUAAAGCUGAGAUUUUUUAAUUAUACACUAUAUUUAUAACUAGUUACCACUUUCAUUCUGAGCAAUUACAGCUAAACUGUAAUGAAGAAUAUAGCCUGGAAGUCUGACCUUUUUUGAAUACUCUAUUAUAGCUCAUAUUUUUCCAGUUGGCUCUACCUUUU
rnacentral:lncRNA from 1 species